UUAAAUUCUUAUACUCAAU
rnacentral:snRNA from 1 species